GACGAACGCUGGCGGCGUGCCUAACACAUGCAAGUCGAGCGGAGAUUGCAGCAAUGUAAUCUUAGCGGCGGACGGGUGAGUAACGCGUGGGCAACCUACCUUUUACAGGGGGAUAACACAGGGAAACUUGUGCUAAUACCGCAUAAAAUAUCGAGAGGACAUCCUUUUGAUAUCAAAGGAGCAAUCCGGUGAAAGAUGGGCCCGCGUCCGAUUAGCUAUUUGGGGGUAUAACGGACCACCAAGGCGACGAACGAUAGCCGAAAUGAGAGGUUGAUCGGGCAAGUUAGGACUGGAAGUCGGCCCAGACUCCUACAGAAGGCAGCAGUGGGGAAUAUUGCGCAAUGGGGGAAACCCUGACGCAGCAACGCCGCGUGAAGGAUGAAGGUUUUCGGAUUGUAAACUUCUUUGAUUGGGGACGAAUAAUGACGGUACCCAAAAAACAAGCCACGGCUAACUACGUGCCAGCAGCCGCAGUAAGAC
rnacentral:rRNA from 1 species